rnacentral:rRNA from 1 species
AUACGUAGGGGGCGAGCGUUGUCCGGAAUGAUUGGGCGUAAAGGGCGCGUAGGCGGCCCGGUAAGUCUGGAGUGAAAGUCCUGUUUUUAAGAUGGGAAUUGCUUUGGAUACUGUCGGGCUUGAGUGCAGGAGAGGUAAGUGGAAUUCCCAGUGUAGCGGUGAAAUGCGUAGAGAUUGGGAGGAACACCAGUGGCGAAGGCGACUUACUGGACUGUAACUGACGCUGAGGAGCGAAAGUGUGGGGAGCAAACAGGAUUAGAUACCCUGGUAGUCCACACGGUAAACGAUGAAUGCUAGGUGUAGGGGGUAUCGACCCCUUCUGUGCCGCAGUCAACACAAUAAGCAUUCCGCCUGGGGAGUACGGCCGCAAGGUUGAAACUUAAAUGAAUUGACGGGG